rnacentral:rRNA from 1 species
UGGGGAAUCUUGCACAAUGGGGGCAACCCUGAUGCAGCGACGCCGCGUGAGCGAUGAAGCCCUUCGGGGCGUAAAGCUCUUUCGACCGGAACGAUAAUGACGGUACCGGGAGAAGAAGCUGCGGCUAACUACGUGCCAGCAGCCGCGGUAAUACGUAGGCAGCAAGCGUUGUUCGGAGUUACUGGGCGUAAAGAGUGCGUAGGCGGUUUUCUAAGUUCGGUGUGAAAUCUCCCGGCUUAACUGGGAGGGUGCGCCGAAGACUGGGAAGCUGGAGUGUGGGAAAGGCAGUCGGAAUUCCUGGUGUAGCGGUGAAAUGCGUAGAUAUCAGGAGGAACGCCGGCGGUGUAGACGGCUUGCUAGACCAUAACUGACGCUGAGGCACGAAAGCGUGGGUAGCAAACA